GCUGCAGCAUGCAUUUCCUGGUUUCUCUUGCAGCUUAACAUGGCCACGUGACUAAGCUGUGGUCAGUAAGAUAUAAAUGAAUGUGCUGAGUAGGACUUUCUUGAAACAUUUUUCUUGAAAAGAGCAGGCUACAGAGCCCCAGCAGCUGUUUUGGACUAUGAGGUGUCCUUGGAAACAAAAUCCAGGUAUGCAUUGACAAUGUCAGUUGGCGAGCACCGCCUCCUUGAUUGUGCUACGAGCAGCAGCAAAGGAUGGUUACAGGAAAGCAAACAUCCACAUUGCUUAGCUGUCACUUUGCAGUUUCUGCUGCCUGUGACUAAAGCUCGAUUUCAACUAUCCAAGGGACCUGCUCCUGUUGCCUUCUAACCCAAGGGGACUCCAUGCCAGAUUCUGGCCUCUACAAUGCAGUGCACUACCAGAUGGCUCAGUGAAGUAAAGAUACUUGCUGCCACACUGACAACCUUUGGACUGAAUGGGAGAAGGAAAGAACUGACCGUCUCAAUUUGUCCUCUGAACUCCAUAUACAAACGACAUGUAGGAAUAUGCACACAUGCAAAAUAAGUAAAUAAAUGUAAUAGCAAAACAGACUGAAUAGGUCAGGUAAGAAUAUUUAGCUGGCACGUAGAAAGCCCUAGUUUCAAUCCUCAGGUUUUUUUUUUUAAAGAUUUAUUUAUUAUAUGUAAGUACACUGUAGCUGUCUUCAGAUG